GGGGCUGUAGCUCAGUGGCAGAGCGCUUGCCUAGUAUGUGUGAGGCACUGGGUUCGAUCCUCAGCAGCACAU
rnacentral:tRNA from 1 species